CCAUGCAUAUGGAGGUUCCCAGGCUGGGCAUCACAUUGGAGCUACAGCUGCCAGUCUACACCACAGCUCACGGCAACACUGGAUCCUUAACCCAAUGAGCAAGGCCAGGGAUCGAACCAGCAACCUCAUGGUUUCUAGUCAGAUUCGUUUCCGCUGCACCACGACAGGAACUCCCCACAUUAGUAUCUUAGUACUAGUAUCUAACUUCCGGGCCUUAAGGCUAUAAUUAUUUUUGUCUUCUAUUCUGAGACCCUAACCAUUCUCUUCUAAAUAGGGAGAGAAGACACAUAUCUUGAGAUCUUUGGUACUUUUAUUUGGCUCUGGAAUUAUCCCUCCUACAACCGAUAACCAGGCAAAGCUGAGGUGGGCUCUCAUGGAGGCAGUUGUAUGAGACAGGUUCCUUAGGAAAUAAAAGUCAAUAAAAUGUCAGGACAGUCCAAAGGGUAUCCAGAGAAUGGGGAACCCAAUGUGCAGCUGGAAGGUAUCUGAAAGAGGAAAAAGCCAAUUUCUCUUAAUUCAACUUUUAUUUCAAGUUACAUAAAAAAUAUAAAUACUUCAUUUAGUUCUUCACAUAAAUGAUUUAAUCAUGAUUCAAAAUGAUGGCAUCACCAUUUAGGAAGAGACAAGAAACAAGAAAUAUUUCCUAGUCCCCCAUAAACCACUUAUUAUGUUAACUAAUGUGCUUUGUACAAUAUUGCAGCAUACUCACUGAAUUAAUUGCCACGGAGAUAAAAAUUAUCACCUGACUUAAAAUCAUGGUUCUUAUUAUCAAAUGAUGUGAGCUACUUAGCUCUCAUCCUUUUUUUUUUUUUGGUCUUUGGACGAAAGCUUUAAGUUAAAUUAAUCCUCAAUUUAAAUAAUACUAAUAAUCCCAUUCUUGAUAUUUAGAAGUAUAACCUCCCCUUGGUUUUACAGGCCUCCUAAUCUCAUUCAUUUUCAUUAUACCCAUGAUGCCCCCCUGGGCCAAGAGCCUCAAUGACUAUUUCACCAUUGCCAUGUUUUUAACAGCAACAACAUUUGCUCAGCACUGAGGUAAUGUGCAUUGCCUAAGUUCAAAAGUUCUCAAAACUAGCCUUUGGUGGGAGCCAAGAAAGGAGGCUCAGCAGCCUGGGCCAGCCCCCAGCUCUGUCCUUAGGCUUUCAGAGUUUUUCUUAGUGAAGACUGAAGAGUCAAAACCUCUGGCGUUAUUUCCUUAUACUGCCUCUCUCAGACCAGGCUGUGAACUCCUUGGAGGUGGACACCCCUCACAUUUCAGUGCUCCUUUACAGGUCCUGCUCAACACCUCCAACAAUAAAGCUCCACUAAACAUCUGCUGACUUAGGAAGGCAAAGAACAAAUUACAACAGGUAGAGAUUGAAGCAAAAAAGGGACAGUGAGAAGGCAGAACAUAUUGGUCAGCUAAUUAGCUGGCUUAUUUUCUCUUUUUUAUCUUCUCUUGUCAGUCCUGCAGCAGUUCUAGAGGCCAAGGACUUCAGGCAGCCUUCUGCCCACGGCUCUCUGUGACCCAAGCUCAGGGACCUGCCCCAGACUGGCUCACUCUAGGCCGGGGGUGAGGAGGUGGACGGGAGCAGCCAAGGCAGGACCCUGACGUGGCAGACAAGGCAGAGGGUCUGAGAGCCCGGCCUCCACCCACACCAGGGGCCCUGUGCACCGAGUGAGCCCUGCCCUCCUCCGCCCACAGGCAGGAAACCCAGGCCCCCUGCUCUGCCUAGAGGGGGGGGGCCCCCGCCGCCGUAGCCGCCCCCUUUAGUAUCUGGUCAGGCCAGGGUGAGGACCAAAGGAGGGGAGAGGGUGGAGCUAGUCCUGCCCCUCUUCUCCGGCUGCCCCUGCUGGCCUCUUCCCAGGAGCCUGGGUCCACAAAGCAGGAAGUGCUGACUCUGAGACGGAAACAUGGGCCCUGCAGGCUGGGUCUUCCUAGUGCAGCUUCUGCUGGGGGUCUCAGGUGAGCCCCAGGCCGGGUCUGACCGGGGUGUGAGCUGAUCUCGGCGACAAGAAGCCAUCCUGGGUGUCCCCCAUGUCCCUCCUUUUCUGUCCCCAGGCACAGAAGAGGAGGAACCAAAGAAUCUCGUGAAGUCAAGUAAGGCGCCCAGCCAGGGCCAGCAAUUUGGGGUGGGAGGUGGAGAGAACGGGACGGGACACCAAGGGAACUGGUGCCAAAGAGGGGAGAGGAGAGGCACAAUUUGGGGAGUGGGUGGAGAGGGGGCGGAGCAGGUCCCCCAGGCCACUCUCCUUUUUGUCGCAGUCUGUGGGCGUCCCGCCGUCUUAUCUGGCAUCGCCUCAGGCAUGGAGGCCAACGUGGGGCAGUGGCCCUGGCAAGUCAGCAUCCGCCAGGACCUGUUCCACGUCUGUGCGGCCACCCUCAUCUCAGAGCGCUGGGUGCUGACGACAGCAAGCUGCUUCCGGUGAGUGCUGGCCUUGCUUCGGGGAGACCCAUAGCGGGGACGCGGGGGACUGGAGCUCCCGAGCUAAGGGCAGAGGAGUUCAUCCUGCACAGCCCGAAGCAGCACGCUGUGCCCUAGAAGUGGGUCCAAAUGCCCCCUGCCCUAGCUCUCAGGGCAGUGCAACUACUCUUAGACUGCAGGUCCUUCACAUUUGACAGUCAUCUUGACUGAAAUGAGUCCCUAAUUCUCUGCUCAAGGAGACAUUCCCCAGAGAAGGCCCUCCCCUUAGAGCCCACCCACAUCUUCAAACCACUCUGGAUGCACAGUUCGCAGCCCCUUCACUCUCCCUAGAUGGCCCCAGCCAUUCCCAUGGUUUAAAAUGUCAUAUUUGGGGAGUUCCAUAGUAGCUCAGUGGACGGCUAGGUGGCAUAUGGAGGUUCCCAGGCUAGGGGUCUAAUUGGAGUUACAGCCACCGGGCCUACACCACAGCCAUGGCAACCGCCAGAUCCUUAACCCACUGAGCAAGGCCAGGGAUCAAACCUGAAACCUCAUAGUUCCUAGUCAGAUUCGUUUACACUGUGCCACAAGGAAACUCCAACUACACUUUUACCACUACCAAUGUCCUCAAACAUAUUUCUUUUCUCUUCCCUUCUCACAUCUCAUCCAACAACAGAGCCAGUUGCUCAAGCCAGAAAUACGAAGCCUCACUUUCCUUCGCCCUCUAUAUAGUCACUGCACACACCACUUCUUCAGUUUUACUUCCAAAAUAUACUUUGACUCUAGCAUAACUGUCCUGGAUCACUGCAGUUAUAAAAUAGGUUUUGCUACCUUCAAACACACAACAAAGUCAUUUUUUAAAAGUCAGAGGCAAGAUCAUGUUAUUCCUUCCUUCAAAUCCACCAUUCAAUGCUCAAGCACCUAGAAUAAAACCUACCAGCCAUGAAUUGCCAGAUAACUGCUCAUUUUCCCAACAUCCUCCCAUUCUACUCCAGGUUAAUUUCAAUUCCUAGAAGCUGCCUAGCUCUUUCUUACCCCCAAUACCCUUGCGUACCCUGUUCUCUCUGGAAUGCUUUUCCUUACAGCUCUUAUGGCUGACUCCUACUUUGUGAGACUUGGUUGACAAGUUACCUCUUCAAAUGACACCUUCCCUAAUCAACAAUUCAUAGGCUCUUCCUUCAUCUUUUACUUUCUAUCUUAAAAUCCUGUUUGCCUUUUAUCGCAAUUUAAAAUAGUAUACUUGUUUACUUGUGUCUUGUCUGUCCCCCUCCCUCCUUGCCUCCCUCCCUCUCUCUCUCACUCACACACACACCCCUUAAGACCAAAAGCCCUACGAGGGCCAGAUCAUGUCUAAGACUCAUUAUAAAUAUUUUCAGGAGAUGCUCAGCACCUAUUGAAGGAACAAAUACUUAGGAAGAGUUAAGAGUUAAAAAUGCAACCUCCAGAGCUCUGGGCUCUGCUGUGCCACCCCAUGACGGAGUCACAAGAAACCCACAGUACUUGCUCUGUUCCUCUUCUUUGCAGAUCUAAGGAUGCCAGCAAAUACAAUGUAUUGGUUGGGUCACUUCAGGUCUCUGGGCACCAACACUCUAAAACGAAGACCAUCCCUGUGCUCAGGGUUAUUCUGCACCCUGGCUUGCAGGGUAACACCUGGGGCACCAUCGCCGUGGCAGAACUGGCCCGCCCAAUUUCUUUCAGCCCCGUGGUCCUGCCCAUCUGCCUCCCGACAUCUGCGGUCCAGCUGAAGAACUCAACCUCCUGCUGGACGACUGGAUGGGGCAAUUCUGGGAUGUCCCAAUGUGAGGAUAACUAGGUUUUCUGAGCUCUCUUCCCUCCACUGGCAUUCCCUCCCUGGCUCUAUCCACCCCGCCUCUAGCACCAGACAUGGUGUGCUCUCGGCAACUAACCUGAGGGACCACGGACUUCAAUUCCCCUUGCCUCUGUCAUAAUCCUACAGUAAUCUCUCCACUUGUUUUUAUAUGCUUUUGUUCUUGUCUCCUAAAACUACUAAGACCUUGAAAGUGAAAAGGACAGGGUAAUGAACUCAGAGAGAAGCCAGUUCUCAGUUCUUCCACACUGGGUGGAGGGUGUGUGGUGAGGGGGACGGAGAAGCAGACAUGAAGAUGGACCCAGGAGAGCAACGCUGCACAGCAGGUCCUGAGUCAGACUGGGACAGGAGGACUUCAUGUAUCUAAUCUGUGGAAUAGAAAAAUAUAUUCCAAAGCCCAACAAUUUAAUCCCAUAUCUUUCAUUAUUUUAGGUUUUCCUGAAUCAAAAGAUUCUUCUGUUAUGUGUGGUAUCUGGGUGGGCAGAAGCAACUGCCUUUGGUCUUGUUCAGAUCCAGGGAACUCGACCUUUAGACUCUUUGCCAAACCAGAGAUCAGAAUGCUGUCUAUGGUGGAGGCAGACUAACUGAAAUCAGAGCUAUCCCUGAAAAAUCAAAGGCAUGUAAUCUGUAUCCACAGCUGAAAGUUGCUUCCUAAUUUUUAAGACAGCUUUAACUCUUUUUGACCUUACAGCUAUGAAACCAUCUUAUACCCUGAAGGAACUAAAAGUGCCCCUCAUUGAUCUCCAGACCUGCAAUAACUACUAUCAGAAAGAAAGCCUGUUACAUGGAGUCAAGCCCAUCAGUGAAGACAUGAUCUGCUCCAGGCUCCCAGUGGGGCCAACAGAUCAGUGUAGGGUAAGAACCUAUUAUUCUAUAAAAAAAAAAAAAAAAAAAAAA
ensembl:lncRNA